rnacentral:rRNA from 1 species
AUUGAACGCUGGCGGCAUGCCUUACACAUGCAAGUCGAACGGUAACGGGCCUUCGGGUGCCGACGAGUGGCGAACGGGUGCGUAAUGUAUCGGAACGUACCUUUCAGUGGGGGAUAACGUAGCGAAAGUUACGCUAAUACCGCAUACUCUGUGAGCAGGAAAGCAAGGGAUCGCAAGACCUUGCGCUGAUUGAGCGGCCGAUAGCAGAUUAGCUAGUUGGUGAGGGAAAGGCUCACCAAGGCGACGAUCUGUAGCGGGUCUGAGAGGAUGUUCCGCCCCACUGGAACUGAGACACGGUCCAGACUCCUACGGGAGGCAGCAGUGGGGAAUUUUGGACAAUGGGGGCAACCCUGAUCCAGCCAUGCCACGUGAGUGAAGAAGGCCUUCGGGUUGUAAAGCUCUUUCGGCCGGGAAGAAAUCGUAUGGGUUAAUACCCUGUGCGGAUGACGGUACCGGCAUAAGAAGCACCGGCUAACUACGUGCCAGCCGCCGCCGUAAUAC